rnacentral:misc_RNA from 1 species
GGAGUUGGAUAUCAGUUACAAUCAGUUCAAUGAUAGCAUCUUAUCAUCACUUAAGUCUUUGAUUCUUAGAAGGAAUAGCAUGGAAGGUUUCUUCCCUAGCAAAGAAUUAAAUAGUCUGAAGAAUUUGAAAAUACUGGAUAUAAGUGGCAAUGGAUUCAACGGCUCCCUCUCACUUGAAGGUUUUGAACGAUUGGAAGAUUUGGACAUCAGUUACAAUUGGUUCGAUAAUAGUGCAUUAUCAUCAUUGGGUGCUCUUAC